CCUACGGUGAGCAGCAGUGAGGAAUAUUGGUCAAUGGGCUUACGCCUGAACCAGCCAAGUCGCGUGAGGGAAGACUGCCCUAUGGGUUGUAAACCUCUUUUGUCAGGGAGCAACGCCGGCUACGUGUAGCCGGACUGAGAGUACCUGAAGAAAAAGCAUCGGCUAACUUCGUGCCAGCAGCCGCGGUAAUACGGAGGAUGCGAGCGUUAUGCGGAUUUAUUGGGUUUAAAGGGUGCGUAGGCGGAAUGCCAAGUCAGCGGUAAAAUCGCGGGGCAAAACCUCGUUCCGCCGUUGAAACUGGCGUUCUUGAGUGGGCGAGAAGUAUGCGGAAUGCGUGGUGUAGCAGUGAAAUGCGUAGAUAUCACACAGAACUCCGAUUGCGAAGGCAGCAUACCGGCGCCCAACUGACGCUGAGGCACGAAGGCGUGGGUAUCGAACAGGAUUAGAUACCCUGGUAGUC
rnacentral:rRNA from 1 species